UACGUAGGUGGCAAGCGUUGUCCGGAUUUACUGGGCGUAAAGGGCGUGCAGGCGGUUUGUUAAGUGCAGGGUGAAAGCUCCCGGCUCAACUGGGAGAGGUCCUUGCAUACUGGCGAACUCGAGGGAGGCAGAGGAAAGUGGAAUUCCCGGUGUAGUGGUGAUAUGCGUAGUUAUCGGGAGGAACACCUGUGGCGAAGGCGGCUUUCUGGGCCUUACCUGACGCUGAGACGCGAAAGCGUGGGGAGCGAACCGG
rnacentral:rRNA from 1 species